CGCUAUAGCAGGAAGUGUUCUGAGCCAGGAGCCUGAGAAACCGGACACCUCGGCUGGAAGCCAGCUCCCUCGCUGGGAUUUAGGACAGGUGGUCCUCUGGGCGGUGGCCCACACUGUUGGCUCUGGAAGGGCUCAUGCUGUGAGGGACUUGCCAGCGUGCAGACCUGUCAAAACGCCACUGCACCAAUGUACAGAGCUCGGCUUCAAG